rnacentral:rRNA from 1 species
GAUGAACGCUGGCGGCGUGCCUAAUACAUGCAAGUAGAACGCUGAAGGAGGAGCUUGCUCUUCUGGAUGAGUUGCGAACGGGUGAGUAACGCGUAGGUAACCUGCCUGGUAGCGGGGGAUAACUAUUGGAAACGAUAGCUAAUACCGCAUGACAACAGUUAUUGCAUGAUAACUGUUUAAAAGGGGCAACUGCUCCACUACCAGAUGGACCUGCGUUGUAUUAGCUAGUUGGUGAGGUAACGGCUCACCAAGGCGACGAUACAUAGCCGACCUGAGAGGGUGAUCGGCCACACUGGGACUGAGACACGGCCCAGACUCCUACGGGAGGCAGCAGGAGGGAAUCUUCGGCAAUGGACGGAAGUCUGACCGAGCAACGCCGCGGGAGUGAAGAAGGUUUUCGGAUCGUAAAGCUCUGUUGUAAGAGAAGAACGAGUGUGAGAGUGGAAAGUUCACACUGUGACGGCAGCUUACCAGAAAGGGACGGCUAACUACGUG